rnacentral:rRNA from 1 species
CACGUAGGGCGCGAGCGUUGUCCGGAUUUACUGGGCGUAAAGAGCGCGCAGGCGGUCUUUCAAGUCGAGUGUGAAAGCCCCCGGCUCAACUGGGGAGGGUCAUUCGAUACUGAUCGACUCGAAGGCAGGAGAGGGUAGUGGAAUUCCCGGUGUAGUGGUGAAAUGCGUAGAUAUCGGGAGGAACACCAGUGGCGAAGGCGACUACCUGGCCUGUUCUUGACGCUGAGGCGCGAAAGCUAGGGGAGCAAACGGG